rnacentral:lncRNA from 1 species
CCCUAAUUUGCAUAGACCUAAAAGUGCACAUGCUUAUGGUGCUACUAUUUAUUGUACAAUACAUGAGGCUUACACUUUGGUUAGUGCCUUUAUUUUUUGCCCCUUGGAGCCCUUGUCUGUCUUUAAAGGUACUAAUGUGUAGUUAAAGCAGUUUUUGAAGGAACCCAACUAAUUUUGUUAAAAUAAUCAGUGUGGGUAAAUGCUGAUUUGCCACAGGUGUUAUUGAAUUCCAGGAACUAUGUGGAAUACAGCUUUGUACAAAACUUGCAUUAGCUGAAGGUGUGGUAUACAGUGAAAACUAUGUACUGUAUAAAUGUAACAUUGUCCCUUUCCAGAGCUAAUGAGACUGUUGUAAAUGUAGCACAGUAUAAAAGCAUUAUGACAAGUAGAACAGGUGGAUGCAGAUAUCUGCAUUUCUUAAACUGCCAUUAUGAACAAUGUUACAUUCAGCUCUAGUGCAAAAUAAUUCUAAUGGUAACUGGCAUUGGCUUAAAGGCACACUGUAGGCACCCAGACCACUUCAGCUCGCUCAAGCGGUCUGGGUGCUUUGUCCUUUUUGCACUUAGUGCUGCAAUGUAAAACAUUGCAGUUCCAUAGAAACUGCAAUGUUUACAUUGCAGCUCUAAGUCUGCCCUAAGUGGCUGUCUAUCAGACAGCCUUUAUAGGGCUUCCCAAAUCGUAAGAGACUUUUGGUUCGUUAUCUGACGCUGGAUGUCCUCACGCUCUGCAUGAGGACCUUCUGCUUCAGAUUGUUCCCCUUAAGAAAGCAUUGAUUCAAUGCUUUCCUAUGGGGAGGACUAAUACGUGAGGGACAUUGGCGCUGGGGUCAGGUAAGUAAAGGGCCUAUUAACCCAGCUCCAAGAUUUAAGACGUCUUGUAAAACUAAGCAUCUAAUUUGUAUUGAAUGUGCCACCCCCAUGCUGGACAGCUGUAGGAAAAAGAUUUGUAACCAAUGCUCAACAGAGUUAAACAAAAGGAGAUGUAUACGUUUCUCAACUGCUUCCAGGAAAACCUCUCCCAGACAUUUUGAAGCAUUUAAAGACAACACCACUAAAUCCUGGGAUUCAUAUAUUUGUCCGGGACUGAGCCAGAAAAGGAAAGAAAAGGCAGAGGUCCUUUUCAUCUUCUGACUUGGUACUCCACUACUUGUGUGAAGCUCCUUUUGAACCACUGGACGAAGUCUCCUUUAAGCCCUUAUCGCUAUUACAUCAACUAAAAGUGUAGGCAAACUCCAAGUGCUUUCCUUCUGUCUAAAUUUCACCAUGUUUCACCAAGGUUGUACUUAAUCUGAUACCUUUGUGUCUUUCAAAGGUGGUCUCCAAAGCCAAUAUUAACCAGCCCAGUUUUCUGCCCACUCUGUGCUGACCACCUUCCAUUUCGGUAGAAGCCAUGUUGCACUUAUUAAUUACAUUAAUUGUUCUUCAUCCUUCAGGAUCUCCGAUCGCCUUUUCAUUCAUUUUCAAUGUGCACAUAAAAGUAAAUAGUCAUCAAAGGCGACUAUCGCCAAGUGGUUAACAGAAGCUAUCAAAAUGGCCUUUGAAGUCAGUGGUCAAUCUCUUUCUACUAAUGUAAAAGCUCAUUCCACAAGAGCUAUGGCUACUUCUUGGAAAGCAAAGGCAUAGGCCUAUCCUGAAGACGUGUAAGGCGGCAACUUGGUCAUUAAUCAGUACCUUCAUCCGUCACGGGCUAGACAUCUUUGUAUCCUCAGAAGCUGCUUUUGGGUGUAAGUUGCUGUCUGCUGCUGUAUCAUGACUUCCCAGCCGGUUUGGGAUCUUAUUAUAUUCCUUUGUACUGACGCUAUUUGCCGGGAAAAACUAAAAUUUUACUUACCGUAAUAAUUGUUUUCCUUAGUAUAGCAGCAGUACAGAUUUCCCCCUGUAUAAUAAAGUAUUUAGAUAUUUUUGCAGUAUCUGGUCUCCUGGUUCUUUUUUUUCUUGCUAUUGCUGAUGAUGUGGGCAGCUUGUGGUUAUUUAAGGUAUG